GGAAACUUCUCUUUCCCAUUUGCUAUCAUUCUUUUACUGUGUGGCUCCAACUCUGGAAAAUCUUUCCUCCCUGCCCACCACCCUCUUCCCCUCUUUUUUUCUACCACUCCCAGACAUUCUGAUCAUCUUAUUUGGGUAGAACUUGGACUGUGUUGAUCUAAAUGCCCUACCAACAUUUGAUGUGGGUCACUGUGUCCAGAGAAGUUCUGUAUCUACAACGUUCACAUAGCACAUUCACAUUUGAUUACUCCUUAACAAAUAUCACAGCCUAGAGAAUUAUGAACUAACCUGUCCUUAGUGCCCAGUAACAGACUGGACCAGAUAUGAAUCCAUCUGAAGUGGGAUAAUGAUGGACCAUCCUGCCUCUUUUAAAUGCAGGACACUGGAGUGAAAAUAUAAGAAGUAGACUGGGGUACCAACACGAAAUACUUCUUUACUGUAGAAGAUAAUAGGUGAACAAAAAGAAAAACCGAAAAACCACCAUAACCCCACCACUCAGAAAUAACUACCAUAAUACUUCCAUAGCAUUAUUAAGAUUCACAUACCAUUCAACUCACAUGUUUAAUGUAAACAAUUUAUUGAAAUUAUUUUAAAAUAUUGAAUAUUUAAUUUAUUGAAAAUAUUUACUAUAUUUUCAGAGAUGUAUAAUCAUUACCAC
ensembl:lncRNA